rnacentral:misc_RNA from 1 species
GAUGAAGAACGUAGUGAAAUGCGAUAAGUAGUGUGAAUUGCAGAAUUCAGUGAAUCAUCGAAUCUUUGAACGCACAUUGCGCCCUUUGGUAUUCCUUAGGGCACGCCUGUUCGAGCGUCAUUUAAACCUUCAAGCUCAGCUUGGUGUUGGGUGACUGUCCGCUUCACCGCGGACUCGCCUCAAAAUUAUUGGCGGCCGGUACAUUGGCUCUCGAGCGCAGCAGAAACGCGUAACUCGAGGUCCUCGUGCUGGCUCCCAGAAGCUAUCUUCACAAUUUUGACCUCGGAUCAGGUAGGGAUACCCGCUGAACUUAAGCAUAUCAAUAAGCGGAGGA